rnacentral:lncRNA from 1 species
CUCAAUGUCAAGAGCACCUUCUCAAAGAAGAACGGAACCAGAUCCCCACCCCGACCAAGCCCCGGAGGUCUGCACUACUCUGACGAAGACAUCUGCAACAAAUACAACGGUGCGGUGCUGACAGAGAGUGUGAACCUCAAGGAGAAAUCGGUGGAUGGGUCGGAAUCGGAGGCUUCUGACUCAGACUACGAGGAAGCCCUGCCCAAGCACUCCUUCGUCAACCACUACAUGAGCGACCCCACCUACUACAACUCUUGGAAGCGGCGUCCCCCUGCCGCAGCACCGCACAGGUACGAGGCGGUGGCAGGGGCCGAAGCUGGCCCGCACCUGCACACAGUCAUCACCACACAGAGCGCGGGCGGAGUCUACACACCAGCUGGCCCCGGAGCCCGGGCCCCCCUCACCGGCUUCUCCUCCUUCGUGUGACGUCACGCCUCCAUCAGGGUAGACGGGUGCAGAACUUCUGGAGUCUAUUUUUGUUAAGACAAUCAACUCCGAUAACUGAGCUGAAUUUUUUUUGUUUAAAAAAAUAAUAAUAAUUCUGAUAAGCGAUCUU